rnacentral:lncRNA from 1 species
CCUAUUUAUCUGGAAUGGCUUGCUCUGAUUCGGGUCAAGUUUUCAUUCAUUUGGUCGAAUUACCUUGUGAAUAGUGCAUUUGCUGAAGUUGAUGAUGUACUCCUCAUUGGGUUAUUAUGAAAAUUAUGAUUAAUUUUAACAUAAUUAGUUAGGAGUAAAAUUGCCUCCAUAACUACUCCGUUCUUUUCUUCGCAUGAAGGAUAACCCAAUUCGUCAAAAUAUUUUUGACGUAUGAACCAUGGAUCAUUUAGAUUUUGAACAUCAUUAUGAUCAAGGUACAUAAUCACCUGUUCAGAUUGCUUCUCCAAAUAAGUACUGUUUAGGAUAUUUUUCUGUGGUACUUCGUUCAUCAUAGGGUUAGAUGAUGAAGUUGCCUGAGAAAACAUUUCUUUCUUUACAGCAUUAAUUUGCUAUUGUUGGUCAACCGUCUUGUCCUCUUUCAGAUAGAUUGCUAGAUCCACCAUUUGUGGAUAUCUAAUGGAAAGUGCAUUGGCACUACGUUCUC